UACGUAGGGAGCAAGCGUUGUUCGGAUUUACUGGGCGUAAAGCGCGUGUAGGCGGGAAGCUCAGUCUGUGGUGAAAGCGCCUGGCUUAACCGGGCGAGGUCCAUGGAAACUAGCUACCUAGAGGCCGGUAGAGGGGGGUGGAAUUCCGGGUGUAGUGGUGAAAUGCGUAGAGAUCCGGAGGAACACCAGUGGCGAAGGCGGCCCCCUGGGCCGCGCCUGACGCUGAGACGCGAAAGCGCGGGGAGCGAACGGG
rnacentral:rRNA from 1 species